GACGAACGCUGGCGGCGUGCUUAACACAUGCAAGUCGAACGGAAAGGCCCUGCUUUUGUGGGGUGCUCGAGUGGCGAACGGGUGAGUAACCCGUGAGUAACCUGCCCUUGACUUUGGGAUAACUUCAGGAAACUGGUGCUAAUACCGGAUAGGAGCUCCUGCUGCAUGGUGGGGGUUGGAAAGUUUCGGCGGUUGGGGAUGGACUCGCGGCUUAUCAGCUUGUUGGUGGGGUAGUGGCUUACCAAGGCUUUGACGGGUAGCCGGCCUGAGAGGGUGACCGGCCACAUUGGGACUGAGAUACGGCCCAGACUCCUACGGGAGGCAGCAGUGGGGAAUAUUGCACAAUGGGCGGAAGCCUGAUGCAGCAACGCCGCGUGCGGGAUGACGGCCUUCGGGUUGUAAACCGCUUUCGCCUGUGACGAAGCGUGAGUGACGGUAAUGGGUAAAGAAGCACCGGCUAACUACGUG
rnacentral:rRNA from 1 species